rnacentral:rRNA from 1 species
CAAUAGCGUAUAUUAAAGUUGUUGCGGUAAAAAGCUCGUAGUUGGAUUUCUGUUGAGGGCAGCCGGUCCGUCCUUUGGGCGGUAUCUGGUUUGGCCUCGGCAUCCUCUCGAAAGACGUUUCUGCGCUUCGUUGCGUGGGGCGGAUCUCGGGACUUUACUUGAGGAAAUUAGAGUGUUCACGGCAGGCUAUCGCCAGAAUACAUUAGCAUGGAAUAAUACUAUAGGAUCUCGAUUCUAUUUUGUUGGUUUCUAGAAACGAGAUAAUGAUUAAUAGGGACAAUUGGGGGCAUUCGUAUCAACACGUCAGAGGUGGAAUUCUUGGAUUGUGUUGCGACGAACUACUGCGAAAGCAUUUGCCAAGGAUGUUUUCAUUGAUCAAGAACGAAAGUAAGGGGAUCGAAGACGAUUAGAU